GACUUUCUAAUAUCUAGAUUGAAACUAGGCAAGUGAUGAGCACAAAGAGUUUAAAAAGAUUAACAGUGGAUAUUUAUAUUUUACAGGCAAGGAACACUUGUGUUAUAAGCUGCUUACCAUGAUGCAGCCCAAAUGGGACAAUUCAUGGACUAUUAGGAGAUGCAACGUGGAUGCCCCGUGGGGCAGACUACAGCGAGAGAUGGUUACCUAGUGAGCCUGAUGUUUGGAGCCUAUGCUGCAGAAGUCCACCAUUCCAACAAGAUAUCACGCUGGUUCUCAUGCUGGAUGUUGCUCCCUAAGCACAUAAAACAGAAACUAAAACUAAGGAGCCUUAAGUGGAGAUGGAGGUGCUAAUUUUUAAAACCGAGAAACUACUGGAGGUGGAAUAUUAUUUCUUCUUUCUGAAUUAGUAUUUAGGCUCACAUCAG